GCGACACGUUUUAGUAAACCGAAUGCAUCAGGUUUCUUUUAAAUCAAAGCAUGUCUCUCUCUCUCUAUAGAUCAUGUUCUCUCUCUCUAUAGAACAUGCCGCUGGGUUGUUUGUUCUCUAUCGCCGAUCAUUGUCUUAGAUCGUUGUUUCCAAUCAUUAUCAGGCCUGCCGCAGCGCGUCUAUUUUCCCCCGUUUGAUAGGUUUGUGGCAAUGCGCGAGUCAGAGAUCAACUUCUUUUCUAAUGUUUUACAAACAGGUUCACGAUCAUGUAGGAAGCAUUUGACUUUCAUCUAAUAUGAUAUAUAACUAAUGAAUCCCCACCGCAUUGCGGCGGGUGGUAAUUCUAGUUUAUAUAAAUAUUAAACCUUUGUGUGCAUGAGGUUGUUGUACAUUUUGCAUUGUAACUUUCGUGCGUAACUUUGUAUAAUAUCAAUAAUCAACCUAUGUAUGCAUUAGGUUGUUGUACCUUGUGAAUUGUUGGUUUUCUGUGCAAUCUAUUGUUGUACACCUGGCUGUGUUGUUUGUGAAAUGGGUUUAUUUGUUUGUUUUGA